rnacentral:sRNA from 1 species
GCCAGGCAAGGUGGUGCAUGCCUGUAAUCCCAGCAGCUCGGGAGGCUGAGGCAGGAGGAUUUCAAGUUCAAAGCCAGCCUCAG